rnacentral:rRNA from 1 species
CCUACGGGAGGCAGCAGUGGGGAAUUUUGGACAAUGGGCGCAAGCCUGAUCCAGCAAUGCCGCGUGAGUGAAGAAGGCCUUCGGGUUGUAAAGCUCUUUUGUCAGGGAAGAAACGGUGGGGGCUAAUAUCUCCUACUAAUGACGGUACCUGAAGAAUAAGCACCGGCUAACUACGUGCCAGCAGCCGCGGUAAUACGUAGGGUGCAAGCGUUAAUCGGAAUUACUGGGCGUAAAGCGUGCGCAGGCGGUUUUGUAAGUCUGUCGUGAAAGCCCCGGGCUCAACCUGGGAAUUGCGAUGGAGACUGCAAGGCUUGAAUCUGGCAGAGGGGGGUAGAAUUCCACGUGUAGCAGUGAAAUGCGUAGAGAUGUGGAGGAACACCGAUGGCGAGGGCAGCCCCCUGGGUCAAGAUUGACGCUCAUGCACGAAAGCGUGGGGAGCAAACAGGAUUAGAUACCCUGGUAGUCCACGCCCUAAACGAUGUCUACUAGUUGUCGGGUUUUAAUUAACUUGGUAACGCAGCUAACGCGUGAAGUAGACCGCCUGGGGAGUACGGUCGCAAGNUUAAAACUCAAAGGAAUUGACGGCUGAGACGNGCGAGACGACGACGAGGGAGAGG